UUCGUGCUGUGCUCGAUUUGAUGCAUGUGAAUGUGUUUUUGUUUGUUAUUGAAUGACACAGGCACAACAGAUGCCAGCAAUGCUGUUAUGAUCGAGAUUAUGAUUUUGUAAAUGCAUACAUUAUAUAUCUGGGAUACGAAUGAAAUUUAACGCGAGGUGUGCGCUGGUAAAAUAUGCGAGUACAGGAGACCACUCACCGAAUAGCAGAAGCAUUGAUUUGUCAUCAACAGGCACACACUAAAGACUAAAGACUGAAAGCUUUGCUAGCUUUCAGACACAUGAUGAGUGUUUGGCACUACUUUGUUUGUAAGAAACAUGUAAUAUGGAGGAUGCUGCAUGUUACCUUGGAUGGAGAGUUAUCAGAAGAAACUCCAGGUUGGAAUAUCAGUAAUAUUAGGACAACCAAACUCUCCACCAGGAUGAGCGGCCACCUCCAAACUGUGGCCUAGAGCAUGGUAGACCACCCUGUGGCACAACAUGCAGCUGAACAUAAUUAAGGUGACUGGUUAACCCACUUGAAAAGCCAAAUGCUUUAGCUUUGCUUCCGGGACAUGGAGGCAAACCUGCCUGAUACCAAAUCUGCAUCAAGGAUUAAUGAUGAUGGCUGAUGAGCCAGCCAGCCCAGAAGUGAUUGUUAGACGGUUCCCCACAUCCAACUAGAUCAGGAGUUUCCAAACUUUUCUUUUGAAGUAAUCCUGGUACAUUGAUGGAACACCUCAUGUAUUUUUAAGGUUAAUAAAAUUAA